rnacentral:rRNA from 1 species
UGGGGAAUUUUGGACAAUGGGCGAAAGCCUGAUCCAGCAAUGCCGCGUGUGUGAAGAAGGCCUUCGGGUUGUAAAGCACUUUUGUCCGGAAAGAAAUCCUUGGCUCUAAUACAGUCGGGGGAUGACGGUACCGGAAGAAUAAGCACCGGCUAACUACGUGCCAGCAGCCGCGGUAAUACGUAGGGUGCAAGCGUUAAUCGGAAUUACUGGGCGUAAAGCGUGCGCAGGCGGUUUGCUAAGACCGAUGUGAAAUCCCCGGGCUCAACCUGGGAACUGCAUUGGUGACUGGCAGGCUAGAGUAUGGCAGAGGGGGGUAGAAUUCCACGUGUAGCAGUGAAAUGCGUAGAGAUGUGGAGGAAUACCGAUGGCGAAGGCAGCCCCCUGGGCCAAUACUGACGCUCAUGCACGAAAGCGUGGGGAGCAAACAGGAUUAGAUACCCUGGUAGUCCACGCCCUAAAACGAUGUCAACUAGUUGUUGGGGGAUUCAUUUCCUUAGUAACGUAGCUAACGCGUGAAGUUGACCGCCUGGGGAGUACGGUCG